GAUUGAACGCUGGCGGCAGGCCUAACACAUGCAAGUCGAACGGUAACAGGAAGAAGCUUGCUUCUUUGCUGACGAGUGGCGGACGGGUGAGUAAUGUCCGGGAAACUGCCUGAUGGAGGGGGAUAACUACUGGAAACGGUAGCUAAUACCGCAUAACGUCGCAAGACCAAAGAGGGGGACCUUCGGGCCUCUUGCCAUCGGAUGUGCCCAGAUGGGAUUAGCUAGUAGGUGGGGUAACGGCUCACCUAGGCGACGAUCCCUAGCUGGUCUGAGAGGAUGACCAGCCACACUGGAACUGAGACACGGUCCAGACUCCUACGGGAGGCAGCAGUGGGGAAUAUUGCACAAUGGGCGCAAGCCUGAUGCAGCCAUGCCGCGUGUAUGAAGAAGGCCUUCGGGUUGUAAAGUACUUUCAGCGGGGAGGAAGGGAGUAAAGUUAAUACCUUUGCUCAUUGACGUUACCCGCAGAAGAAGCACCGGCUA
rnacentral:rRNA from 1 species